CGCCCCCGCAGACCAGAUCUAAGCACUCUAUGGGCCAGAUCCGGCCCACGGACCUUGAGUUUGAUACCCCUGAUGUACUGCAAACAUGGAAACACAAGAGAGAAUGAGCUGAAUAAGAAACAAGAAUUCCAAAUUAAUUUUAGAACAUGAAGGUAAUCAAAAGCCCCAAAAUAUAAUAGAAAUAUAAAUUAAUUGUACUGUUAUCCUAAUUACUCAAAGCUAAGUACUAAGAUUGGCUCCAGUAUCAAAAACUAUUCAUGGUUCUGGGAGAGCAUUCAGUUUUAUUUUAAAAACUGUGGUUAUUUGAAACCUAACUGGAGGAGCUGUUCUUCAGGAUUUUAAGGUAGAAAUACAUUUAGGAAGCAUUUUCCCCAAUUCAUUAAUCUUGAUCAAAUAGCAAAAAUGGCAAAUUUCUCUAAUACAAGUCAGUAUAAAAAAUAAAGGUAGGGGAAAAAAGAAUCAUUUCAACUUACAUAAUUUGAUUUUUUUUUACUUAAACUCCCAUUAUAUCCAGCCAUAAUAUAGAGGCUGUUAUUUCUGAUUGUUAGGUUUGCUUCUUUGUUAUAUAUAUUUUUUAAAAAAAUCAGAUUUGGACAGUUAUAACUUAUAUAGUUUUGUUGAACUUCUGAAAUAAACAUUUGUGCUUUCCA